AUUGAACGCUGGCGGCAGGCCUAACACAUGCAAGUCGAACGGUAACAGGAAGCAGCUUGCUGCUUCGCUGACGAGUGGCGGACGGGUGAGUAAUGUCUGGGAAACUGCCUGAUGGAGGGGGAUAACUACUGGAAACGGUAGCUAAUACCGCAUAACGUCGCAAGACCAAAGAGGGGGACCUUAGGGCCUCUCGCCAUCGGAUGUGCCCAGAUGGGAUUAGCUAGUAGGUGGGGUAACGGCUCACCUAGGCGACGAUCCCUAGCUGGUCUGAGAGGAUGACCAGCCACACUGGAACUGAGACACGGUCCAGACUCCUACGGGAGGCAGCAGUGGGGAAUAUUGCACAAUGGGCGCAAGCCUGAUGCAGCCAUGCCGCGUGUAUGAAGAAGGCCUUCGGGUUGUAAAGUACUUUCAGCGGGGAGGAAGGGAGUAAAGUUAAUACCUUUGCUCAUUGACGUUACCCGCAGAAGAAGCACCGGCUAACUCCGUG
rnacentral:rRNA from 1 species